UUUAUUGGUGAAUAAAGACA
rnacentral:piRNA from 1 species